rnacentral:lncRNA from 1 species
AAGACUAAAGAUGGGUCUGGGCCAGUUUGAGUUGAAUGAAAAGCCCAUGUGCGGAGCAGAAAGAGUUCCCAACUACUAUAAAACUCUUCUCAAUGCUUACCUCUCCAAUUAUCUUCCUCUUCUCAUCUUCUAGAAUUAGGGUUUUUAGCGGCGCAUCCAAAUUAUUCUUUUCAUUGUAUGAAUUCAUCUUUGUAACUUAUAUGUCUCUGUUAUAGAUCUUUUUUGUAGUCUUUGAAUUGUUGUGAUUUUGAUUUGUUGUGACGGGGGAUUUUAAUCCAAAUUCCCAACUUGAAUGGUGGCAAACUUAUACUGUGUUUGCAUGACUCCUAGUAAACGUCGCAUAAAAAUGUUUACUGACGUUGACGGUUUUCUCUCUUCGGAGAGAGUUCCUCCGUCGGUUUUUGUCUCAUAUUCCAUUGCCUUGUGGAGCAGCGUUGCUGCCUUUACUUCUUGGGACUGGCCAUGAGACACACAUCAUUAUUUAUCUGUUUUCACUUUUUUGUUAUAUAUACAAACAAAUACUAG